GAUGAAGAACGUAGCGAAAUGCGAUAAGUAAUGUGAAUUGCAGAAUUCAGUGAAUCAUCGAAUCUUUGAACGCACAUUGCGCCCGCCAGUAUUCUGGCGGGCAUGCCUGUUCGAGCGUCAUUUCAACCAUCAAGCCCCCGGCUUGUGUUGGGGACCUGCGGCUGCCGCAGGCCCUGAAAAGCAGUGGCGGGCUUGCUGUCACACCGAGCGUAGUAGCAUACAUCUCGCUCUGGGCGUGCUGCGGGUUCCGGCCGUUAAACCACCUUCAUAACCCAAGGUUGACCUCGGAUCAGGUAGGAAGACCCGCUGAACUUAAGCAUAUCAAUAAGCGGAGGA
rnacentral:misc_RNA from 1 species